rnacentral:rRNA from 1 species
CAGCAGUGGGGAAUAUUGCACAAUGGGGGAAACCCUGAUGCAGCGACGCCGCGUGGAGGAAGAAGGUCUUCGGAUUGUAAACUCCUGUUGUUGGGGAAGAUAAUGACGGUACCCAACAAGGAAGUGACGGCUAACUACGUGCCAGCAGCCGCGGUAAAACGUAGGUCACAAGCGUUGUCCGGAAUUACUGGGUGUAAAGGGAGCGCAGGCGGGAAGACAAGUUGGAAGUGAAAUCUAUGGGCUCAACCCAUAAACUGCUUUCAAAACUGUUUUUCUUGAGUAGUGCAGAGGUAGGCGGAAUUCCCGGUGUAGCGGUGGAAUGCGUAGAUAUCGGGAGGAACACCAGUGGCGAAGGCGGCCUACUGGGCACCAACUGACGCUGAGGCUCGAAAGUGUGGGUAGCAAACAGGAUUAGAUACCCUGGUAGUCCACACCGUAAACGAUGAUUACUAGGUGUUGGAGGAUUGACCCCUUCAGUGCCGCAGUUAACACAAUAAGUAAUCCACCUGGGGAGUACGACCGCAAGGUUGAAACUCAAAGGAAUUGACGGGGGCCCGCACAAGCAGUGGAGUAUGUGGUUUAAUUCGACGCAACGCGAAGAACCUUACCAAGUCUUGACAUCCCUUGACAGGCAUAGAAAUAUGUUUUCUCUUCGGAGCAAGGAGACAGGUGGUGCAUGGUUGUCGUCAGCUCGUGUCGUGAGAUGUUGGGUUAAGUCCCGCAACGAGCGCAACCCUUAUGGUCAGUUACUACGCAAGAGGACUCUGGCCAGACUGCCGUUGACAAAACGGAGGAAGGUGGGGAUGACGUCAAAUCAUCAUGCCCUUUAUGACCUGGGCUACACACGUACUACAAUGGCGUUUAACAAAGAGAAGCAAAGCCGCGAGGCAGAGCAAAUCUCCAAAAAACGUCUCAGUUCGGAUUGUAGGCUGCAACUCGCCUACAUGAAGUCGGAAUUGCUAGUAAUCGUAGGUCAGCAUACUACGGUGAAUACGUUCCCGGGCCUUGUACACACCGCCCGUCAAACCAUGAGAGUUGGCAACACCCGAAGUCGGUAGUCUAACCGCAAGGAGGACGCCGCCGAAGGUGGGGUUGAUGAUUAGGGUUAAGUCGUAACAAGGUAGCCGUAUCGGAAGGUGCGGCUG